UUGAAAGCCCAGGAGCAGGCGCGCGUCUCCGCCCGCUCCCUUGGGAUCCGCCCCGGCGGCCUCGCGCAUGCGUGCAGUUCCCUAGGCGCUUCGAAGGUCCAGAUAACUGCAAACGGAUGAGAAAAGUGGAAAUCCCUGGUGCGUGGCCUAACUCGGGUGGGAGUUAGAAAUACAAGCGCUGCCCCUUCCUACCUGUGUGACCUUGGGCAAGUUACUGAACCCCUCUGAGCUCUAUUUUCUAUCUCGAUAAGGAGGAUGACAAUAAGGUGGUUGGGGGAAUUAAAUGAUGGAAGUGCGGUG